GCCGACGUAGCUCAACGGUAGAGCAGCUGAUUUGUAAUCAGCAGGUUGCGGGUUCGAGUCCCAUCGUCGGCUCCA
rnacentral:tRNA from 1 species